UACGGAGGGAGCUAGCGUUGUUCGGAAUUACUGGGCGUAAAGCGCGCGUAGGCGGCUUUGUAAGUUAGAGGUGAAAGCCCGGGGCUCAACUCCGGAAUUGCCUUUAAGACUGCAUCGCUAGAAUCCGGGAGAGGUGAGUGGAAUUCCGAGUGUAGAGGUGAAAUUCGUAGAUAUUCGGAAGAACACCAGUGGCGAAGGCGGCUCACUGGACCGGUAUUGACGCUGAGGUGCGAAAGCGUGGGAGCAAACAGG
rnacentral:rRNA from 1 species